rnacentral:rRNA from 1 species
UGGGGAAUUUUGGACAAUGGGCGAAAGCCUGAUCCAGCAAUGCCGCGUGUGUGAAGAAGGCCUUCGGGUUGUAAAGCACUUUUGUCCGGAAAGAAAUCCUUGGCUCUAAUACAGUCGGGGGAUACGGUACCGGAAGAAUAAGCACCGGCUAACUACGUGCCAGCAGCCGCGGUAAUACGUAGGGUGCAAGCGUUAAUCGGAAUUACUGGGCGUAAAGCGUGCGCAGGCGGUUUGCUAAGACCGAUGUGAAAUCCCCGGGCUCAACCUGGGAACUGCAUUGGUGACUGGCAGGCUAGAGUAUGGCAGAGGGGGGUAGAAUUCCACGUGUAGCAGUGAAAUGCGUAGAGAUGUGGAGGAAUACCGAUGGCGAAGGCAGCCCCCUGGGGCCAAUACUGACGCUCAUGCACGAAAGCGUGGGGAGCAAACAGGAUUAGAUACCCUGGUAGUCCACGCCCUAAACGAUGUCAACU